rnacentral:rRNA from 1 species
GACGGAGGAUGCAAGUGUUAUCCGGAAUCACUGGGCGUAAAGCGUCUGUAGGUGGUUUAAUAAGUCAACUGUUAAAUCUUGAGGCUCAACCUCAAAAUCGCAGUCGAAACUAUUAGGCUAGAGUAUAGUAAGGGUAAAGGGAAUUUCCAGUGGAGCGGUGAAAUGCGUAGAGAUUGGAAAGAACACCGAUGGCGAAGGCACUUUACUGGGCUAUUACUAACACUCAGAGACGAAAGCUAGGGUAGCAAAUGGG